GUUUUCGCCAUUGUUUUCAGAGCAGGCGGCUCAUAACCGCUUUGUCGCUGGUUCAAACCCAGCAAGGGCCACCA
rnacentral:tRNA from 1 species